UCUUAUGGGUGAGCAGAAAAAAAGGUUUCUUGAGAUGGAAUCUAUUCCUGGUGAAGAUGCUGUGAA
rnacentral:pre_miRNA from 4 species